rnacentral:lncRNA from 1 species
AUGAAGUCUUUUUCCUUCCUAACUUAUUCCUUUUUGAUUUUGCAGAGAAAUGUUUGGGUUUUUUCUUUUUUUCCCCCUUCUUCUUCUUCUUUCUUCUUUUUGAAUAUGCACGGCCACUCAACUUUUUCCUUCCUAACUUAUUCCUUUUUGACUUUGCAGAGAAAUGUUUGGGUUUUUUUCUUUUUUCCCCCACCUUCUCCUUCUUCUUUUUCUUUCUUCUUUUUGAAUAUGCACGGCCACUCAAGCAUUCCACUUUUCUACCAACUGUGCAAAGUGGAACAGGCCAGCGAUACAUGUAUCGUAUUAGCCCUUUUUGCUGCAUCAAGAAUGGAAUGCCACAGCCAGAGAUCACGUUUUAAUUGUGAAUUGAAAACUCUAGGGGAAACUUCCAUCCCACACAUUCAACCUCACACAAAUGGUCACAGGCAUCGCUCAUGAAUGUCAGUGUGGUUGGUGAAGUGCUUUCUGGUGUCUCCCAUCAUUCAUGAUCCACCUCAGGUCAGCAUUUUCCCCCCAGGCCAGAGUUUCACCUGCAGGUUUCCCAGCUGCUGAGUCUGGGAAGCUGUCUUGCCAUUUUAACGGAAAACAGCAAACAGAUCCCUAUAAGGUUGCCAAAGUGGCUAGGGAAAUGGGGGUGGGGAGGCUCAAAGGAAGGGGGUUCCUUGCCUACAAAGUGCUGUCUUUGGAUGGCAAAUCAAGAGGCUCGUCCAAUGGUCUCUUUUAAAUAAGGAGUGCCAGAUCUUGGGAAAAGGGAUUAAAGAAGAAAAAAAAAACCAACAAAUCCAGUUCUCAGAAUACCACCCUUCAAUUCUGACACAGUCCAAACUGGUAACCUUUCAAAGCAAUGAGAAUUCUAUAAUUCCAAUACGCUCCAAACCUUCUAAUUUCAUUUGCCUAAAUUUAACUGGGGUAGAUAGCUCAGUGAAGUAGGCCUCUGGAUGUGGAGCCAGAAGUUGGGAGUUCAAUUCCCUCACUGUGCCUCCUAUGGUGGAGGCAGGCCUGCAUCAAAACAAAGGUUAUUCAAAUUAUUGGUCUUUCCUACAGGGAUACGUACAGUCUGUCUACCAUCUCUCCCUGCCCACUCCCUAAAGCAUUACCACUAGCAUUUUAAGAAGCGCCAUCUAGAUAGUUCUCUUUGUGCCACCCUUCCUAUUGGUUUCCAAAGUUUGUUUGAGGUGCGAUACAGAACGGGCUUCCCUUUGUGUUUUUCCAAAGUCUGAGGUACGGUGUUUCUUUUCAUACAGCUCGGAAUAGUGAUGGUGUUCCUGUUUUCCUUGUAUUGGCAGAAAAGCAUUACCACUAGCAUUUUAAGAAGCGCCAUCUAGAUAGUUCUCUUUGUGCCACCCUUCCUAUUGGUUUCCAAAGUUUGUUUGAGGUGCGAUACAGAACGGGCUUCCCUUUGUGUUUUUCCAAAGUCUGAGGUACGGUGUUUCUUUUC